AUGCCAGAAAGAUUGUCAUACCCAACAGAGAGCAAUCCAAAACACUUUUAGGCUUGGCCUUAUGUGAGUGACACACAUAACUACUUCUUAAGUAACUAUUUUAUAAAGUGCUAAUUUACAGAUAUUUUCUCAUACAAAAAUUUGGCCUAUCUGAUGAAUUAUCCCAUCACUUACUUAACUGAUGCCUGGGAAGGAACUUAUGGCUUGAGGUUGAUUCUGCAUAGAAAUGUAUGAAGGAAGACAUGAAUGCUAUAAUUGGUGCUCUUUUACAAAAAUUUUUGGCAAAUGCUGAACUUUACAUUUUUCCUAGAUGAUGAUGUGUAGUGUUGGCAUCUGUAAUUUGCAGCUUACAUAUUUAAGUAUAUUGGGACAUCAACAUUAAUUUCUUGUCAAAAUUAAAAGAUAAGAAGACUUUUGCAGAUUAUCCAAAGAGACCGAAUAUACAAAUGGACAAUGGCGAGACCAUGUCUACAAAUAGAACUCUAACCUGCAACUAGCACAAGAAACCAGCCUUUUUCUACAGUAACCAGCCCAGGAAACCAACCUGCUAUAAAGAUAGACUUAUACGAAGUCAUAUUGCUGUCUCUACCACAACAAUCCUGGAAACCAAGCAAUAACCCCCUGCACCAGCUGGCCCCAAAUCACCAGAAAUUGAUUAAUAACUGACAGCUUCCUUAAUUUUUGUCCCUGCUUCUAACUUAGGACCAACCAGAAAAAAGCCAAAGAUGCACUCUUAACCAACCACAUAAGAUGUCCCGCCUCUAUCUAGAAGCCUUCCUUUUUUCCCACUAUUAAGCUUUCCUAUCUCUCUGUCUGCUUUUGAGUCUCUGCCAGAACACAAAUGGUAGUGGCUGAUAUCCUUGCUAUAGCAUGCUCUUUAAAUAGCCUUUGCAUGCUCUCAUUUUGUUGGUUUUAAUUUAUUUCCACACUAGGAUAUCACAAGACCACUUUAUAGCAGUUUCACAAAGUGAACAUAAAAUCUCUUUAAGGUAGUGGUGGGGCUUUUGCAUUUUCUCUCUGCUUCUUUGAUUUGAUGGAUUUGCUCAUCAAGGAACAUGUUUUCUCUUCAACAUCAGGGAACAUCCUUUCUCUUAUAAAACUCCAUUUAGUAAACUUUCAUUUUAAACUGUGGACAUGUCCUGAUACCUAAAUCUUUAAUUCAUUCAUUGGCUUUGUCUAAUCUACUGCUUAUCUCCAUUUAAUGUUUCAAGUGUUUAAGAAAUGUAGUUUUCUUUUUUAAAAUUUGGAAUUGGUUCUUUGUCAUAUUCACCUGUACUUGAUUCUUAUGUGCACAGAUUAUCUGUUUAAUAGAUUUAGGAUUUUAUUUUGUAGAUAACCUUAUCUUCUCUAUACACUUGAGGAUUUUGAAUUGCGAUUUUAAAGCACUUUCAAUUUGCUAUAUUAUUUCUGUUUCUUUGGGCAAAAAUUCUUCUGUCUUUCAGGUUUAUAGAAUGAGUUUAUUAGCAUUAGUUUUCUUUAUACAUGUCUGAAUAGGAUUUGAGAGCUCAUAUCUUGCGAGAGUUUUCAUUUUCUUUCACCCAUUUUCUCCAUUUUCUGUUUUGUGGUUCCAUGAUUUUCUCAUCCAGAGACAUCCAGAGUUCAGAGACAGUAUUAUAUAAGCAGCUCAGACAUUCACCCUAUGAUAAUUCUGCACUCUAAUCCCCUCAACCUCAUGUAAGCAACAGCCCACUUUCCAGUUCCUAGUUUAUGCUCCACACCAGGAAAACCCUAUGACAGUAGUUGGUCAUUGUUUCUAUAUUUGUUGAUGAAAGGGUGAAUGGGAACCUAAUCUCAGUCUUCAGAUAGGGAAGAUGGUACUCCUUCUUCAUUUCAUAUAAAGUGUAAUCAGUUUCAUUUUCACACAGGAAUUCUGGGACUCUGGACCCUUCUGUUAUAGCUUUAUUACCUAAGUCACUGCUCAACACUGUGGGGGUCCUAUUUUAUUUCUUACCCAGAGAGAUUUUUUAAUUUGUGUUAGAAUGUAGCUACAUAUAUUUAAUGUAUUUUAAAAUACUUAUUUAUCAUUUCCUUUUGUUUGGAACAGAUAAGAGUGAUUAUAAACUGCAUGCCAUAUUAAUAACUGAACUGCUUUCUGUCUGCUGCCAAGUGUUAACUUGGUUAAGACAGUAGGCUUUGAAGUCAGAUCUGGGUUUGAAUCCUGGUGGUACCACUUAUUAGUGAUCUGACAUUUGACAAGUUAAUUAGACCUUGUUAAAGCCUCAAUUCUCUCAUUGGAAAAGUGAAAAUGGCACAAUUGUCUAUUUUAUAGGAAAAGAGAGUUAAGUAACAAAUACAUAGUACUUAAAAUGGUGCCUGGCACAUAGCAAACACUGGAUGUGAGGUGUUCGAUACUACUUCUGCUACUGCUUCAUUGUUAUUCUCAAGCUGACAGCAAAAUGCCUUCAUUCCAUUUUUUUUUUGUUUGUUUGUUUUUGUUUUCCCCCACCUGGCGCUUUUAUCUUGUAUUAUUUUUAUUUUUUAUUUUAUUUUUUUCUUUUUACGGCUGCAUCUGUGGCAUAUGGAAGUUCCUAGGCCAGGAGUCUAAUCAGAGCUGCAGCUGGGGCCUAUGCCACAGCCAUGGCAACAGUGGAUCUGAGCCACAUCUGUGACCUAUGCUGCAGCUUGUGGCAGUGCUGGAUCCUCAACCCACUGAGUAAGGCCAGGAAUUGAACCUACACCUCAUGGACACUAUGUGUUCUUAACCUGCUGAGCCAUGAUGGGAACUUCUUGUAUUUCUUGGUUAUUGGUUUUAUAGUUUUAAUCUGGUUAUAAAUUAGUGUACUCAAAGCUCUAUAUUCCAAAGUUUUAUCUUUUUAAGGAAGAUGGAUCCUUAAAAAGGAUUGUUAUUGUAAUAUAAUAACAAUACAAUAUUGUGUACAAUAUUUUUAAGACAAGGGAUAUUUAUUCAUAAACCAAAUUGUGCUUUGGUCAUAGGGGACAUAUAUUAUAGAAAUAAAUAUUGUUGUAUGCAUGUUACAUUUUUAAUAUUACCUGGAUGACCACGGUUGAUUUUGAGAAUAAUAUACAUCAAAUGACAUGUACACAGUGGACUUGAUACUCAUUUAAUAAGUGUUAUUGCUGUAGUUUUCCCUGAGAUUUUUAUUUUACUUAAAUUUGGUAAGUAAGUAAAUGGGACAUGUAAAUAAUGAAGAAACUACAUUCCUAAGGAGAGAGAGACAGCAGUAAUCCAAGUUUAAAUCUCACUUUAUAACUUCGAAUCUAUAAAAACCACACAAAAAUUAUAACAUCAGAAGCACAUUUGGUUUGCUUUUAGCUAUUGAGUGCAGAGACAUUACAGGAUUGAUGUUUGCAUUCUGAUUUUAUUAUAAAAACUAUAAACAUAAUUAAAUGCCAUUAUACCCUUUAUGAAGGACACAUUUUAGUGCCUAUGAAUGUAAUAGUGUCCUGUUAUUACAUAAUCUCAUGUGAUACAAUAAAAGUGUAUAAAAUAAAACACACAUAUAGAUAUAAACUCUACCUUUGGGCUGAAUCUUAAUAUUGUACUUUUCAGAUUAGCAUUACGAAGAGAUUCUAUUAAUAUUGAUCUUCUAUUUUAUUUCCCAUUUUAAAAGCAGUUACUAUUUUUGAGUUUUUUAUUUUAAACCUAAUUUUCAUUAUUCUACACUCAAAAUGAUAUAUUCCUUUACAAGACCUCACUCAGAGAUAAGACAAUGCCUUUUCUUAAAAACUAAAAAAAAAAAGUAUCACUAGACACUUCAUUUAUAAAUUGUACAAACCAUAUAUUUUUUGCAUUUAGAUUUGUAAAUGGAAAGAAAGUGCCUUAAGAAACAUACAUUUUAUAAGUUCUGCUUAUGCUUGCCGUUAUUAAAAUGUACACUUGUUGCUAUUUAAAAACUUGAUUUUAAUAGUUGUACUUUUAAAAUAGUAAGAUACUUUUAAGUCAAAUUAAUCUCAGUUUUAGUGAAACAAUGACCUUUGAAUUUACAGACAACAUCUGGAGGAAACAGCUGGAUAACUGAUCAGGUGUUUUUCCAAGUAGAAGUGCAAUGUGGUGUUCCUGUGGUACUGUUUAGAGAUUUGCAAUUCUCACAUCAUGUAGCACACAGUGGUGCUAUUAAUUAGAAACUGAUGGAAAGCCAGAAAUAAAUCCUUAUGUCAAGCAGAAUGUCUUACAUGGAGGAGAUUCAAAAGUCAUGCAACUUUCUGAAAUUGAAAUGUUCAGGGUAGCAGCAAGGAUAACAGACUCCCUACUGUCAAGUCAAUAUUUUCUAACUGCUAAAUGUUAAUUUCUCUAAUAUCUGGCUUCUCUCUUAGAUGCAUAACAUUAAAAUGGACUUUCUGAUCCUUUAUAAAAUUAGUGAUACCAAAAAACUAUUAAAUUGUUCAGGAUGCAUUGUAUAUGCCUUAUAAAAUAAUUUCAAAUAUUAUACAUUUGCUAUUGUUGCAAACAUAAUAGCUAUAAAAUUAAUAUUAUAAUUUUAUUUAUUUAUAAUUUUCUCUCACUCUAGUGCAUUUCCCUUUUCCUUGGCCCCUAGUGAUGAGUAUAUUACUGAUCAUAACUCAUAUGUAGUCAUAAAUUUAAACAUCAUCUUUGGCAUGUAGACUGGACUUUGCCUAGAACAUUUGAUGGGCUCUGUGUUCUAUUUAAUUAAUUAAUUAAUUUAGGGCUUCAGGUGUGGCACAUCAAAGUUCCAAGGCUAGGGCUCAAAUCAGAACUGUAGCCGCCGACCUAUGCCACAGGCACAGCAACGUGAGAUCCAAACUGCAUCUUUGACCUAUACCACAGUUCACGGCAACGCUGGAUCCUUUAACCCCCUGAGCAAGGCCAGGGAUCAAACCUGCAUCCUUAUGGAUACUAGUCCAGUUUUUACCGUUGAGUCAACAUGGGAACUCCAGAGUCUGUUUUCUUAACACUUGCCUUAAUAUAGAAGAUAGUUUCUAGUACCAGUUUCUUAGCUAUUUUUUUUUUUUUUUUGUAACAUACCUGGCCAUGUCAAGUCUGAUACACCAUUAAAAUAAUAUAUUUUAUUGCUAUUCAGUGUGUAAUCUGUGGAUCAGGAGAUGGGACAGCACCUGAAAGCUUAUGAGAAAUGUAGGCUCUCAGGCCCUAUGUCAGACCUACUACAUUAGAAUUUUCAUUUUUGUAAAAUGUCUGAGUAAUUUGCAUAUUAAAGGUUGAGAAGCCUAUCUUGGAACAGUGGUUCUCUACCAUGCUGCAUGUUAACAUGCUUGUAUUGCUCAAAAUACUCUUAUCUGAAACCUAUUCAAUCUACAUGAAAUGUUUGGGUAGGGUGGGAGGCUUGGGGGUAGAGGAUGGACUAAGCCCAUGCAUUUCUAAAAAGCUUCCAGAUGAUUUUGGUGCAGAGACAAACUUAGAAUCAAUUUAUUUGGUGGGUGACAGCAGAAUCAUCUAGGGGUACCUGUGAAAAUGCACAUUCCUGACUCUUUCUCCAGAGAUUAGUAUUCUUUAAAAAUAGGGUAGGUGUUUGGAAAUUCCCCAUCUGUCAUCUCACAGUCCACAAUUAAACUACAAUCUUGUUAAAGCUGUUGUAAAAAACAAAACAAAACAAAAAAACCUGACCUUUUAAAGAAUUAACUGAAGGAAAUGCAAUUUUCAUUAUAUAUGGAAGAAGAAUAAUUUGGGUAGGUAGGAAGGAAAGAUUUUAGGCAUGUUUAGUCAAGGUCGAGCGUACAUUUUUCUAAGAUUCUCCCACCUGUGCUUCUUCCAGCAUCAGAUUCAUCCUUGGGUAGAAAAAUGCCUUCAUCACUCACGGGGAUCAUUCAUAUUUUUACUUCACACUAAGUAG
rnacentral:lncRNA from 1 species